AUGUGUUUGACCAAGAUGGCGGCGCGUACACAUCGCGAGGCUCAGCGUCUCUCCAGUUUUUGCAAUUUUGCAGUAUUUUUCCUGCUCAUCUCGGGUCUGUUCGUACUGAACAGCUUUGCUUUAACAUCAUACACCCGAUGGGAGCUUUUGGAUAUCGGUGAGGACUUUUCCAACAGUUUUAUCACCAAUCUUCGACUCAUCCCUGAGAUCUCCAGAACACCCGAGGCUACGCACUCUUCCCGGCCGGGCGGAAGUGCUCGCAGGCGGCGUCGAGAUCGUAAACAAAGGCGGGGGAAGCGCGGAGGUCUAAGAGCUAAGCUAAAGCUAACACCGCUCCGGCUCUCUUUACCGAGCAUCCACCGGAUGCUAAUGCCAAGCUUGCUUUGAACGAACUUCAUGCAGCCAUUAGUAAACAACAGACUGCUCACCCGGAGGCUGCUUUUAUUGUCGCGGGUGAUUUUAAUCACUGCAAAUUAAAGACAGUGCUCCCCAAAUUCCAUCAGCAUGUUUCCUGCCACACCAGAGGAGACAAAACUUUGGAUCAUGUUUACACAAACAUUGAUGGAGCUUACACCGCGACCCCCCUCCCCCACCUCGGACAGUCUGAUCACCUUUCUUUGUUUCUCACCCCUAAGUAUUCACCCCUCAUCAACCGUGUGAAGCCAUCAGUGAGGACCAUCAAAGUGUGGCCAGCUGGAGCAGACUCUUUACUUCAGGACAGGUUUCAACACACGGACUGGAGUAUGUUUGCUUCUCAGGCUGCCUGUGGCUCUCACACGGACAUUGAUAUCUAUACCUCCUCUGUACUGACUUACAUCAACACCACCAUUGACAGUGUUACAUCAGAAAAACAGAUCACAACAUACCCUAAUCAGAAGCCAUGGAUGAACAAGGAGGUGCGAAUUCUGCUGAAAGCCCGCAACACUGCCUUCAGGUCAGAUGACGCUCAGGCCUACAGUAAAUCCAGGGCUAACCUGAAAAGGGGCAUCAAAAAGGCCAAGUACUGCUACAAGCUGAAGGUAGAGGAACACUUUUCCAACUCUGACCCUGUGGCAGGGCAUCCAGGUCAUCAGUGAAUACAAGCCAAGCAACUCCACUCCAACGGUCACGGACGUCUCCUUCCUUAACGAGCUAAAUUACUUUUAUGCUCGCUUCAACAGCGACAGCAAGGAGAUGGCCACCAAAACCACACACUCAGCAGACAACCAACCUCUCAAACUCACCUCCACAGAUGUCCACACUGCAUUGAGUCGGAUCAACGCACACAAGGCUGCCGGCCCGGACGGCAUUCCUGGACGUGUGCUUAGAGCAUGUGCAGAGCAGAUUACAGGGGUCUUCACAGACAUUUUCAACCUGUCCCUCACCCAAGCAACUGAGCCAACAUGUUUUAAGUCCACAUCCAUUGUGCCAGUACUGAAACACUCCUCCCCGAUGUGCUUAAAUGACUACCGCCCUGUAGCACUCACACCCAUCAUUAUGAAGUGCUUUGAGCGAUUGGUCCUAGCACACCUCAAAGACUGCCUCCCACCCACACUGGACCCACAUCAAUUUGCCUACCG
ensembl:lncRNA